UCCUUAGUAGCGGCGAGUGAGCGGCAAAGCUCAAAUUUGAAAUCUGGCACCUUCGGUGUCCGAGUUGUAAUUUGAAGAUUGUAACCUUGGGGUUGGCUCUUGUCUAUGUUUCUUGGAACAGGACGUCACAGAGGGUGAGAAUCCCGUGCGAUGAGAUGCCCAAUCCUAUGUAAGGUGCUUUCGAAGAGUCGAGUUGUUUGGGAAUGCAGCUCUAAGUGGGUGGUAAAUUCCAUCUAAAGCUAAAUAUUGGCGAGAGACCGAUAGCGAACAAGUACAGUGAUGGAAAGAUGAAAAGAACUUUGAAAAGAGAGUGAAAAAGUACGUGAAAUUGUUGAAAGGGAAGGGUUUGAGAUCAGACUCGAUAUUUUGUGAGCCUUGCCUUCGUGGCGGGGUGACCCGCAGCUUAUCGGGCCAGCAUCGGUUUGGGCGGUAGGAUAAUGGCGUAGGAAUGUGACUUUGCUUCGGUGAAGUGUUAUAGCCUGCGUUGAUGCUGCCUGCCUAGACCGAGGACUGCGAUUUUAUCAAGGAUGCUGGCAUAAUGAUCCCAAACCGCCCCGUCUUGAAA
rnacentral:rRNA from 1 species